rnacentral:tRNA from 1 species
GGUAAUGUAGCUUGGUGCUAAAGCUCUUGCCUAAUAUGCAAAAGGCCCUGGAUGCAAUGCCCAGCACUACAG